rnacentral:rRNA from 1 species
AUUGAACGCUGGCGGCAGGCCUAACACAUGCAAGUCGAGCGAGCGCCGCACGCUUGAGUCUUGUCUCUUAAACUGCCCGAUCUAGGGGCAUAUCUCCUGUAAACGGUAUCUAAUACCGCAUACCAUCAGCUGUUCCCCCAUGCGAUUAGCUAGUUGGUGGGGUAACGGCUCACCUAGGCGACGAUCCCUAGCUGGUCUGAGAGGAUGAUCAGCCACACUGGAACUGAGACACGGUCCAGACUCCUACGGGAGGCAGCAGUGGGGAAUAUUGCACAAUGGGCGCAAGCCUGAUGCAGCCAUGCCGCGUGUGUGAAGAAGGCCUUCGGGUUGUAAAGCACUUUCAGCGGGGAGGCGUUACCCGAAGAAGAAGCACCGGCUAACUCCGUGCCAGCAGCCGCGGUAAUAC